rnacentral:rRNA from 1 species
AACCAUGCCAGUCGUGCGUUCUCCUCUUUUCGGAGAGGAGGAAGCGGCGGACGGGUGAGGAACACGUGGAUACCUACCCCUCAGUGAGGAAUACCGGCGAGAAAUCGCCGACAAUACCGCAUAGGGUCCCUCUUGCGGGGGAGCAAAGCCGCAAGGCGCUGGGGGAGGGGUCUGCGUCCGAUUAGCUAGCUGGUGGGGUAAUGGUCUCACCAGGGCGACGAUCGGUAGCUGGUCUGAGAGGAUGAUCAGCCACACUGGGAUUGAGAACGGCCCAGACUCCUACGGGGGGCAGCAGUGAGGAAUCUUCGGCAAUGGGGGCAACCCUGACCGAGCAACGCCGCGUGCAGGAAGAAGGUUUUCGGAUCGUAAACUGCUUUUCUGUGGGACGAGCAAGGACGGUACCACAGGAAGAAGCCCCGGCUAACUACGUG